rnacentral:tRNA from 1 species
GGGGAUAUAGCUCAGUGGUAGAGCGCUUGCCUAGCAGGCACAAGGCCCUGGGUUCGGUCCCCAGCUCCG